GCCCACGUAGCUCAGCUGGUAGAGCGCAUCCUUGGUAAGGAUGAGGUCACCGGUUCGAUUCCGGUCGUGGGCUCCA
rnacentral:tRNA from 1 species